rnacentral:tRNA from 1 species
CUUAAGAUGACAGAAUUAAUGUGAUAGUUUUAAAACCUAUGAAUGGGCUACCUCUUAAGA